rnacentral:rRNA from 1 species
AUUGAACGCUGGCGGCAUGCUUUACUCAUGCAAGUCGAACGGUAACAGGGUGCUUGCACCGCUGACGAGUGGCGAACGGGUGAGUAAUGCGUCGGAACGUGUCGAGUAGUGGGGGAUAACGCAGCGAAAGUUGUGCUAAUACCGCAUACGUACUGAGGUAGAAAGUGGGGGACCUUCGGGCCUCACGCUAUUCGAGCGGCCGACGUCUGAUUAGCUAGUAGGUGAGGUAAAGGCUCACCUAGGCGACGAUCAGUAGCGGGUCUGAGAGGAUGAUCCGCCACACUGGGACUGAGACACGGCCCAGACUCCUACGGGAGGCAGCAGUGGGGAAUUUUGGACAAUGGGCGAAAGCCUGAUCCAGCCAUGCCGCGUGUCUGAAGAAGGCCUUCGGGUUGUAAAGGACUUUUGUCAGGGAGGAAAUCCCUAGUGCUAAUAACACUGGGGGAUGACAGUACCUGAAGAAUAAGCACCGGCUAACUACGUGCCAGCCGCCGCAGUAA